rnacentral:rRNA from 1 species
UACGUAGGUGGCAAGCGUUGUCCGGAAUUAUUGGGCGUAAAGCGCUCGUAGGCGGUCCAGCAAGUCGGGUGUGAAAGCCCUCGGCUUAACCGAGGAAGUGCAUUCGAAACUACUGGACUUGAAUACUGGAGAGGAUCGCGGAAUUCCCGGUGUAGAGGUGAAAUUCGUAGAUAUCGGGAGGAACACCAGUGGCGAAGGCGGCGAUCUGGACAGAUAUUGACGCUGAGGUGCGAAAGCGUGGGGAGCAAACAGG